UUGUGUUUAAUCAACUUAAACGGUUUAAUUUUAAACUUUACUUAAUUAUCAAUCGUUAAACUAACGUAAAGGGUUUAAUUUCGUAAUUCAAAAAAAACCGGAAGUGACGAUUUCCAACGCAUUUGAUGACGGUGCAGAGGGGAGCAAGAGGUGGUACCAGUCAGAUUUGUGCAGAAUUUGACACAUACAGAAUUACCUUAGGCCCAUCAGAAUCAACAAUCUUUGCCAAACUGGAUCCAGACUGCAAAACUUAUGAAGAUGUUUGCAUAAUGAAGAAGAGUCCUUGGACAAAUAAUGAAACCCUCUUGGUGCCCACUACACAUGCAGGGGUGUCCAGACCUGCUCUAGGAAAGCCAGUCUUCUGUGGGGUUCAGCUCUAACACACCUGCCUGGAACUUCAGACUAAUGAAAUUGAAGUAUCCAAAUGAAGACCCUAGCAGUAUGGAGUAUAUGGAUACAGACGUUGCCAGCAGUCAGGAGGUGAUCCAGAAGACUCGUGGAAAUCUAUCUGAAGCUGCAUCAUUGAAGACAGUCCAGCAGAUGUUGGAGUUUUAAAGGAUACAGUUCUUCAGGACCUAUAGCAGUUUACAGUCUGCAAAACCAUGUUGCUGGGACUGAUUUAUGGACUGAACUUGAGCAACCCUCCUGAACUCAGGUACACAUUUGGAAUACUGAAGAAGUUAUUUCUGGAGCCAGUUCCUGUUCCUGGAAUAAGGUUUGAUUGGUUGCCCAUGAAUGCCAAUUAGAAUUUUAUUUGCUAUUUUGUGUAAUUUUGUAAUGUGGUUUAAACUAUA